rnacentral:rRNA from 1 species
UACGUAGGGUGCGAGCGUUGUCCGGAAUUAUUGGGCGUAAAGGGCUCGUAGGCGGUCUGUUGCGUCGGGAGUGGAAAACUCAGGGCUUUAACCCUGAGCCUGCUUCCGAAUACGGGCAGACUAGAGGUAUGCAGGGGAGAACGGAAUUCCUGGUGUAGCGGUGAAAUGCGUAGAUAUCUGGAAGGAACACCGGUGGCGAAGGCGGCAUCCUGGACCGGUAUUGACACGUGAGGCGCGAAAGCCAGGG